rnacentral:rRNA from 1 species
GAUGAACGCUAGNUACAGGCUUAACACAUGCAAGUCGAGGGGCAGCAUUAUCGAAGCUUGCUUUGAUAGAUGGCGACCGGCGCACGGGUGAGUAACGCGUAUCCAACCUUCCCCUUAGUAGGGCAUAGCCCGUAGAAAUGCGGAUUAAUACCCUAUGUUGUAUUAUGAGGACAUCUGAAUAAUACCAAAGGUUCACCGCUAAGGGAUGGGGAUGCGUCUGAUUAGGUUGUUGGCGGGGUAACGGCCCACCAAGCCAUCGAUCAGUAGGGGUUCUGAGAGGAAGGUCCCCCACAUUGGAACUGAGACACGGUCCAAACUCCUACGGGAGGCAGCAGUGAGGAAUAUUGGUCAAUGGGGGAGAGCAUGAACCAGCCAAGUAGC